rnacentral:rRNA from 1 species
UACGUAGGGCGCAAGCGUUAUCCGGAAUUAUUGGGCGUAAAGAGCUCGUAGGCGGUUUGUCGCGUCUGCUGUGAAAGUCCGGGGCUCAACUCCGGAUCUGCGGUGGGUACGGGCAGACUAGAGUGCUGUAGGGGAGACUGGAAUUCCUGGUGUAGCGGUGAAAUGCGCAGAUAUCAGGAGGAACACCGAUGGCGAAGGCAGGUCUCUGGGCAGUAACUGACGCUGAGGAGCGAAAGCAUGGGGAGCGAACAGG